CCCUCCCCAACUAGCGCACUUUCUCGCAAAAAUGAACAUUAAAAGAAAUGAAAGGUAGAAUGGCUUCUCAUCAGACUCUGCUGCAUUUGGAUCAUCCUUCAGAGAAUCCAAGAAUAAGCCACACAUACCAAGAGAUAAACAAGCUGAAAGUUCUCAUUGCUUCUGCAGGUAGAAGACCAAUUUCUCAAGGAUAAUCUAAACUGGUUUAUGGAACAGUCAUUGGGAAUGUGAAAAUAUAGAUUCUCUGGCUAAACAGGGGACCCAUGUCAGCUCUGUCAUGUAUGAGCUUUGAGACUUUAAAGAAGCUACCUAAUCUCUGAAUCCACGCUGCCGUCUGUAUAAGGUUGAGUUAUGCAGACAAUGUCAUGUAUUUCCGAUAUCAAAGGGGAAGAACCAAAAGAGAAGAGAAGGGCACAGAAUGAUAGAGAAAAUGUCUCUGGUUUACCAAGGGAAGUUGACAAACAGGAUGGGAUAGGAAUCUUGAGCCUCAUCUUGGAGCAGAAUUUUCCACUGAUGUUUGAAUCAGCCAUUGACCAUCGAAUCCUUAAAUUAUAUGGAAAUGCAAAGGACCUAGAAUAUGCAAAACAAUCUUAAGAAGUCUCAAGUUGGAGAACAUAUACCACAUGACCUCAAGACAUAACAAAAUCUGCAGUUUUCAAAAUAAUAUCAUACUCACAGAAGAACUAUAGACCCAAACUUAAAGGGUUAUUUGAUUUUCAGC